GAUGAAGAACGUAGCGAAAUGCGAUAAGUAAUGUGAAUUGCAGAAUUCAGUGAAUCAUCGAAUCUUUGAACGCAUCUUGCGCUCCUUGGUAUUCCUUGGAGCAUGCCUGUUUGAGUAUCAUGAGCAAACCUCAAAGUCAAUUCCUUUUGUUAAUUCAAUUGGUUUUGCUUUGGACUUAGAGGUCUUGCAGAUUUCACAGUCUGCUCCUCUUAAAUGCAUUAGCUGGAUCUCAGUAAUUAUGCUUGGUUCCACUCGGCGUGAUAAGUAUCACUCGCUGAGGACACUGUUAAAAAGGUGGCCAGGAAAAUACUGAUUGAACCGCUUCUAACGGUCUAUUAAGUUAGACAAUUACCCUUAAGUUUGAUCUCAAAUCAGGUAGGACUACCCGCUGAACUUAAGCAUAUCAAUAAGCGGAGGA
rnacentral:misc_RNA from 1 species